CUGCAAGACCCUUUCUAAAACAGAAUUCUGAUCUAUGGAGAUGAGUAGGAGCAUUCAGAAGAGGUUCAAGCAAUGUUACGUUAUUUCUUGGGACGAAUUUGGAGAAAUUGCUCAAAGUUCUUGCUCAAGAAACAUUUCCAAGCCAGUUUGACAUGCUGCGGAUAGAAGAUUGAGCACAUGGACCGGGUCCUAUGAGACUGGGACUGUGUAAACUUGGGACUGUAAUUUUUCAGGGCUUCAUAAUUAACACCGCAGUUGCUUUGUUGAAGAGCUAUUAGUGUGCUGAACCACAAGUCACUCACUGACAACAGUAAUCAGAGCGGAAUCAAGAAACACGAUGCCAGAUUGGGUCUCAGUCACACUGGUGCCUUAUUUCCCAAGCAUUGGACAAAGAAGAGAUAUUACUUCAAAGUGGAUAAAGAGAAAGGUUUGCAGAAAUAGAAAAACCAUGUGAGAUGUCUUGAUGCAAUUUCUUCAAAUAUUGAAGUCUCAAAUUUAGGAGACAAUAUAAAAGGAAGAAAAGGUGGAAUAUAUUGUGCUGAUUAGGUAACAAAUUGAAAAACCAUGGGGCAUUUCUGCUUUGGAGAAUGAAGCUGUAGCCGUGGGAAAUAAAACCCUAUGUAAAUCACUGAUGAAAUUAAU
rnacentral:lncRNA from 1 species